rnacentral:lncRNA from 1 species
GGCUGCUGCUCAAUUGUAGGGUCAGUAAGGUAACAGUAAACAGACAUAUACAAAAUGUAUCGGUACAUGUAUAAGUAGGGGUAACAGUAAACAGACAUAUACAUUGUACAUGUAUAUGUAGGACUUGGAGGUGCGAUAGGGAAGCUUAAGUGCGAUUGGUCUACGCCUUAGUGCAAUGGUCCAUACCUUCAGGACUGAUGUUUGAUGGUCUAUUUGAUUCAUGAUUGGUUGUUUAAAAUCUACUGAUGUGCAAUUAGAAGUAGAUUUUAAUAGUUAAGUUUAUAAAUUUAAACUCUUCAUUGUCUAUUGUUG